CCGACCUUAGCUCAGUUGGUAGAGCGGAGGACUGUAGUAGGCGAAGCCUUAUAGGCAUCCUUAGGUCGCUGGUUCGAAUCCGGCAGGUCGGA
rnacentral:tRNA from 1 species